ACGUGGUCUUCGCAUUGUGUUACACUUUAGUGUAAAUAAACCUACGGUGGUCAGCUCCCGAAAUCGCCAUAGAUACAUGUAUAUGCGAAUGUUUAAUUUGACCUGUGAAGUCUGCUCAUUGUGAACUUUUGGACGUACUUGUGUGGAGGGAUUAAAAUACUUUUUACACGAUGUAUGUGAAUUUUACCUGUGAAAGUAUGUUUACCUAUGAACUUUGGAUGUACUCGUAUGCGCAAACUUCAUAGUUUAAAGUGGCAACAAAAACAAUACUAACAAGACGGAAGACAACAAUAAUGCAAAGCCGGAGGAUGAGAAGGAAAAGAUGAAGACGAAGGAGAAAUCAGAGGUAGAGAGUGACGAUGAUGAUGAUGAUGACGACAACGAUGACAAUGAUGAUGGUGAUGAUGAUAACAGCGGAGGCAUGGGUGCUGGUCAAGAAUACCAAUCAAUGUUACAAGCAAUAUCGCUAACAUUUUCAUAGCC